GACAGAGGAUGCAAGCGUUAUCCGGAAUGAUUGGGCGUAAAGCGUCUGUAGGUGGCUUUUUAAGUCCGCCGUCAAAUCCCAGGGCUCAACCCUGGACAGGCGGUGGAAACUACCAAGCUGGAGUACGGUAGGGGCAGAGGGAAUUUCCGGUGGAGCGGUGAAAUGCGUAGAGAUCGGGAGGAACACCGGUGGCGAAGGCGGGUCUCUGGGCAUCUCCUGACGCUGAGGCGCGAAAGCGUGGGGAGCAAACGGG
rnacentral:rRNA from 1 species